GCCAUUUUUCUGCAAUGGAAUUAAAUGGCCAAAGCAGUAAACAGUCCUCAGCGAAGCCGCCUUUUUGCCUACCCAACCCUGGAAAGUUUGCAGAAGUGGAAGGAGCAGAACGUGAGGGUGUAACUUACAAAAAGGUUCUGGGCCGGAGAAGGGGCGACGUUCGGGCACCCCCCGAAUGGACAAUCUUUCCUUCUGUCAACGGCAGGGGCAGGCCUAGUUUGACUCUGACAGUCCUCCCACUAAGGAAUUCCUGGUGACUGGAAGGGGGAGUGACUCAGGCCCUCAACCUCUAGCAGGUAAGGGAGCUACCUCCUGGGUGGGCAUGCCCAGUUCCUCAGUGGGCCCAGCGCGGCCCAGCCUCCGAGGAAGCUCUGAGCAGCUGGCUUGGCUCCGAGGUAUUUUUAGCUACAGAUCCAGCCCCCCUCCAUCACCACAACAGUCGAGUCCAAAUCAAACGCGCUCCAGGCAGGUGGGGCUGGGGUUCUGCCAGCCUCCUGGCCAGCAGGGGUGGGUGGGCAGACUGGGGCCAGUAUCAGCUGUUCUGCCUGGACCCAGGCCGGGCUGGGAAGGCACACUUGUGCUUAUUUCCCGCCUCCACUUCUGUGCAAGCUUGUGCUGUCAUAAGCAGAGAUCACAGCCCCAUUUCUUGGAUGGAGAAAGUGGACACUGAGGUCUGAGGCUUUUGAGGACAGUCAGGAGCCCUCCUAUGGGCUCCAGUGAUGCACUCACCAGCUUCUGGUCCUCUUCUUCCACCUCUUAGAGUGCCUUGGCUCCCUCCUGUCGUCCUGGGGAACCUCGGCCCCAGCCCUGCCUCCCCAGCCAGUCACAGCUCCUCCCUGGUCACCCUGAGGGAGCUCAGGGCCCGGCUGGUAGCUGGGUUGCUCUGCUUCUGUCCCCCACUCCUGUGGAGCCUGGCAGGCAACUCCAUGAUCUGACCCCGGUUACCUUGACAGCCCUGCCUGGCCUCCCCUCUCAUGGCCCAGCCACCCCAGAACCUGAAGAGGUUUUCUAGCUGCCGUGCAUUUGCCAGGCUGGGUUACCCACCCUACUUUCCCUGCCUGCCCUCCAGUGCUGCCAGGCCUAGUGUGCCAGCCAGCGCUCAGCCUUCAGUAAAGGGUUCCCCUGCUUCCAACCUCCAUUGCACUGCUUCCCCUAAGACUGUGACCUCCUGGAAGGCUGGAGCACAACUGCCUCUCAAUAAACGUGUUGCAAAAAAGGAA
rnacentral:lncRNA from 1 species